CGGGCUGGAGAGACCUGGCAUUGGCGCAUCUGGGAACCGACGUCCGUGCGCGGCUGGCUAGAAUGCUGGACUCGCCUCCGCAGCGCUGGCCUGCAGGGAUUAGAAGACAUGUGGGGUCAAGGAACAGGAAGCUGACCUGGAUGGAAGUUGAACAGUGAUCUUUGCUCUCUGCCUGGCUCCUGAGUCCUCUGCCAUGUUCCUGGAGAAGAGGAGCCAGCCAGGGUAAGAAGGGCAGGGGCUUAGGGUGGAAACGCCAUGUGGGUGAGGAUCCUGCCUGAAACAGCUUUGAGAGUCCUGCGAUGACAGAUUGGCCCCAUGCCAGGCCUUAUCUCUUUGGACAUCCCAAACAGGAAUGACCAGCAUGUCCGAUCCUGGGACUGGGAGCCGGAAAGGGAUGAGGGAUGGUUUUUCCACUCCAGGGGAGUGUCCAGAGGGAAUGUGGAGCAGAGCAGGGGCGACUGGUAGGGGGAGGGCCUGAGCUAAAGAAUGUGGGGGAGUGUCAGACCAGUCUGGGGAGAUGGAGUGGGAGUGGAGGGAGACAUGGAGACUAGAAGGAUCUCAGCUGGAGAGAUGGAGAAAGAGAAAUCUCAGGGUUCUUUGGUUUCAGUGGCACCGUCGUCUGUAGGAUCAUCUCAUCCCUCAGUUGACUUUAUCAUGUCAACUCUUUAUCUGUCAACCCUCCCCCAUGGGGAAGAGACCCACCUAGAAACACACAGACAGACAGAGAAACAAGGACACAGGAAUAAUAUGUGUAAU
rnacentral:lncRNA from 1 species